rnacentral:rRNA from 1 species
UGGCAUGCGGCUGCUACCUGCAGUCGACGCUGAGCAUCUUCGGGUGUGGAUGAGUGGCGAACGGGUGAGUAACACGUGGGUAAUCUGCCCUGCACUCUGGGAUAAGCCCUGGAAACGGGGUCUAAUACCGGAUAGGACAUUCUGCCGCAUGGUGGGGUGUGGAAAGUUCCGGCGGUGCAGGAUGAGCCCGCGGCCUAUCAGCUUGUUGGUGGGGUGAUGGCCUACCAAGGCGACGACGGGUAGCCGGCCUGAUAGGGUGACCGGCCACACUGGGACUGAGACACGGCCCAGACUCCUACGGGAGGCAGCAGUGGGGAAUCUUGCGCAAUGGGCGAAAGCCUGACGCAGCAACGCCGCGUGGGGGAUGACGGCCUUCGGGUUGUAAACCUCUUUCGACAGGGACGAAGCUCUUUGGGGUGACGGUACCUGUACAAUAAGCACCGGCUAACUACGUGCCACCAGCCGCGGUAAUACGUAUGGCGCGAGCGAUGUCCGGAUUUAUUGGCCGUAUAGAGCUCGUACGCUGUUUGUCGCGUCUGUCGUGAAUACCUGCAGCUCAACUGCGGUCGUGCUUCCGAUUCGGGCUAAUCUGUCUUCUGCAGGGGAGACUUCUACUCCUGGUGUACCCAUAAAAUCCGAAGACAUUCAUAAUACCACGCUUCUUGAGCUCUACUCUUUAGAUCUAUGAACACCUUA